UAGAACUAUUUUAUUAAAAAAUUUAUUUUGUUAAGUGUAAAUCUUUAAAACAUUUAAUAAAGUUCCGUUAAUAAAGUUCCGCUAAUACGUGAAGUUCGUCUUCAUUUUCGCAUGCUUCUGUUGCGUAAAUUUCAUUUCCGACCUUUGAAAUCAUUAAUUCGGGAAUGUUAAAGUCUUUACAACAAAUCUUUCGGCUCAUUAAAUAAGAUUUUAUUCUAAUGACUGCAUCUAAUACUUGGUUUGACAUUCUGUUUCUCUGUUUACUUUUCACAUAGGUGACCUGUGAAAAGACUCUCUCAACAAAACAGUUAGAAAUAGGAACACACAGACUAGUCGGAAAUGUUGCGAAAAACGGGAUGUCCAAAAAUGUCGACAUAGUCCCUUAAAGCUAUCCAGAAUUCAACAGUAUUUUUAGGAACUUCUUUUUCUUUAAAAAUGGCAGACUCAGUCCAUUCAACGGUACUCACUUUUCUGUAUUGGUUUUCAAUUUCUUGACUUUUUGUACCCAUUAAGUGAGGAAAAGGUAGAUUUGAAAACAGAACCUUUUUCAACUUGGGAAAGAACUUUCAUUGGAGACAGAUUUGACAAGCCGUGAAAAAUUGAUCUGUUAUGUGGUAGUCUUUUUUCAAGCUCGGUUAUAGCCUUUUGAAGAAAAUCAUGACAGCGAUUUUUUAAAUUUCUGCCUGAUUCUUCAGCAUUCAGUUUUGCAUUUGGAGGUUGCUCUUGAAAGUAAAUCUGGCACUAUGAAGAGAAUUUGACUCCAAAAUCAAAACACUGUAGAGAAAGUACAAAGCCCUUGGUAUCAAAAACACGCUGCUUUAAGCUUUUAAGAUGCAUAUUUAGCUCACUCAUUAGAUCUUCUGGAUCAACAUUUAACUUUUGAAAGAAAGAGUUUAGACGCUCAAACGCUUGAAUGAAUGGAGUGAGAAAAACAACAUAGAGAUAAAGGGUGCUGUCUUGGAACAUUUUGCUUAUUGAAGAGAUUUUGUAACGGACAUCAGAGUUAGCAUUCAUUUCAGCACAAAUAAAGAAUGCUUUUAGUUCUUGCCAAUUUACAAGCAAGUUAUAAAAACACUUUCCUCGAACCAACCAACGAGUUGCAGAAAACUUUUGAAAAGGGGAUGGGGUUCCCACGCGUUCAUUGUUUGGAUUCAUGAGUUCAAAUAGUUUUUCAUAUUCGUUUCGACAAAGAAUGCUCUUGUUAAAAAACCGGGGUACCUCGCUCAGAAGAAAGCCGACUGGAAAUGGAAUUUCAUUAAAAGCAUUUUACACCACAAGAUUUAGUGAGUGACAAAUGCACCUCAUCAUAAUACAGUUAGGCGAUUUAGUUAGUACACAAGACCAGGCUGAGUUAUGUAUGACAAUAACAUUUGAGGCACCAUCUGAGAUGUAUCCUUUAAAAAGAUCUUCGCCAGUUGUUGAAAUCACUUGAAUGUGGCCAAGAAAGUCAUCGACAAUCUGUUUCUCUUUUUCUGAAAAAUAUCUCACGCAUAUUGCAAGGUGCUUCAUUGAACUCACAUUCGUUGAUUCAUCAAUGAGAAUGGAAAACGGUUUUGAUUUGAUUUCUUUAGAUAUUUCUUCUUCGAGAGUCGAUGAGAUGACAUUUUAGAUUACUUUAGUACACUUAGUACGGUGGAGUUUCAGAUGUUCCAGGGGACUGCUUACACUAAGCUUAGAAAUAAUUUCACACAAAUGGUCAGCGGUUGGAAUUGCUGAGUGACAGCAGAUACACAUAGCCAGCUGAAUGUUUGCUUUUUUGUUUGCACCUGAAAUAUUUCCUAGACCCGGAAAAUUAAUCUUCUUUUGAAAUGGAUUCAAUAUUGUUUCUCUUUUGAUGUGUGAGACUGCUUUUUGAUGUUGCUCCAAGCUACCUUUGUGUGGACGUAGAUUAGUGCGGCAAAGGCGACAAAUAGCUUGUUCAAAUGCAUCAGAGCUUUUUUUUACCCAGGUAAAUUUUUUUUCCCACUCACUUCGAUAACUAAGAGAGUUUUCAUAUGAUUUUUUGUUUGGCAUAGUCAAUUUAAAGAUGCUAAUCUAAAAUAAAAAAUCAAGUAUAAGCUACAGGUUAUUAAACUUAAUAACCAAUAGGUUUGAUCAAUUUUAAAAUUAGAUAUUUUAAGAAGAAAGCAAAAAUUAAUUAGUUGUUAUUUGAAUAGUAACAGUUACUAAAUUUUCAAUAUCCGUAGAAACAUUAUUUAAAAACUAUGGCAUAUAAAAUUCGCCGAAUGGUCACACACGAGCAGUGAACACCCGAGGGAAGAAAUGAAGUAUAUUAGAAUAAAGAAGAAUUAUUUAUCGAACGAAGAAUAUUUUGACAGUUGUCAAGACAAAAAUAAAGAUUAAUAGAGGAAAAUUUCAAAACAAAUAAGACAGACAACGAAUCAAAACAGUACUCACUAUAAUAAUAACAAAAAAAAAACAAAACAAAAAAAAAUUGUUUCAUAAAAAUUAAUACAAACGAAGAUAUACAACAAAUAUAUAACCAAACAAAAAUUUAAAAAACCAAAAAAUUGAUAAACAAAAAACUAAAAAACCAAAAAAUUAAUAAACAAAAACAAAAAAUAUACAUAUAACAAUGUAAGGCCUCAGCCGCCGUAUUCACAGCUCUCCGUUAUACUAACGGAGAAUUUGAGUGUACGUUAAGAAAAAUACUUUUAACGGCCGGUUAUAAAACGGAUGAAAGUUAAUGGUAUUCUAAUCAUUCCGUUUAGACUCCGUUUAUUAACUACUCCGAUAAUUUUCUUAGUUAAAGUUUCUUCGUUAGCGAGCUCUGUUAACUAGUUUUCGUGAUGUUUUUUUCAUGGCAUUUAAGCGUUGCGAUGCCAACAGACAAUAAAGCUGUUUAAUUGGAAAAUCGCAGCCGUUGAUUUUUUUAUUAUUAACUGCAGCGUAAAUUUUAAAAAAUUUAAUUAAAACACGUUACAAUAUAAAAAAACUUUUAUAAUUUAUGACAUAGAAAAUAUUAAAACAACUUAUUGUCCAAAAUGUCGCAAAACAAAAUUAUCACGAAAUCGAAAGUUAUUUUCAGCAACUAUGUCUUCAUUAUUAUUUUCAUAAUUUUCAAUUGGAUAGUCAUCUAUGUCCACAUCAUUUAACUCUAUUGUUAAAAUUUGCAAUACAGCACACGCAGCAAUUAUGGUGCAGGUUCUUUCUGGGGUCAUUCGAACCUCUCCAUGAAGCAAAUAAAACCGUCUUCUCCACCUUCCAAACACUUGUUCAAAUAAAACUCUUAUUUUUCUUAAAGAUAUAUUAUACCGACGCUGAGCUGCUGUAGUUGGACUUACGGCGUAACCAACCAACGAAAACAUGAAUAUCCGGAAUCGCCAAGUAAUAAACCUUUAAGAGUGCCAUCUAUCAUUUUUUUACCAAGCUUUGAUUCUCUUAAAAUUCUUGCGUUAUGUGUGCUUCCAGGCCAUUUUGCAACAAUAUCAAUGAACUUUCCGUUAUAAUCACACACCGCUUGAACAUUGAUCGAAUGAUUUGAUGAUCUAUUGGCAUAAACAUAUUCGUGCUCGCGUGGUUUUUGUAUGCAAACGUGCGUGCCGUCUAUUAAUCCAGUUUCUUCUUGGAAAUUCUGCAACAAUCUAAAAAUUUACUCUGCUCUCAUUUAAAACGUGUGGAUCAGUUGGGUACUUAAUGUAUUCAUUAACUCUUUUUGCAAGACUCAAAAAAACUUGGAGAAUAAUUCUAGAAAUAGUUGGUUGACUUAAAGCUGCUGUAGAAUCACCAAUCACAAUCUGGAAAGAUCCUGUUGCAUAAAAUCGAAGUGCGCUUAAUACUUGAUAGAUUGGCGCAACACAAAAACUUUGAUUUGACUUUGAUUGUAAAUCUGUUUUCAGCAAAUUUUCCUAAUAAAAAAUAAAAGCUCGACGAAACCUAAACCUUUGAUAUAAGUCAACAUCAUCAUAAAUAUCAAGUGGGUUGGUUCGGUCUCUAAAUAACCUUUCACGCCUAAGACCUCGCCGGACUGUUAUUUCUUGACGUCUUACUUCUGCGAAAACUAAAUGCAUACGAACGAGUCGAGGCAUUGUCUUUGAAUAUUUUCAAUUCUUACUACUUUCAGUUUUAUUUUUAUUUAGACCAUUUACGUGUUAUUGCGACACAGACUCGUUACAAAAAACAAUUUCCUGGCAAUGUUUCAAAAAUACCAUCAAUAGUAAUUAACACUUGUUACCCUAGGGAAUCUUUAAAAUGUUUCACUAUUCAUUAAAAAUAAGUCUAGACUAAAGUAUAAAACACUUAAUACUUUAUUUUAAUGACAUUACAAAUUUAUUACAUACUGUUUAAAAAUAUUUAUUUUAUUCAUACAAUUAUUAGUAUCGUAUAUAUAAGUUAUUAGUAUAUUAUAUACAGAUUAUAAGUAAGACAUUUUUUUUAAAACAUUGGCAGUAUCAACUAUAAAAGUUGAGAAAAAACGUGCAGCCAGAGGAAAAGUAUAUGUCUCAGAAGAGAAAUGGUUGGUAAUUUGAAAGUUUGAAGAACAUAAAGAUGUUCUUUUGUCUAAAGAUGGAAAGGCGGAGAUAAAUAAACGAAGAAAUCGUAUAAUGAGAUCACCGAUGCUGUAAACAGCUUAGGAUUUGAUAAAAGAACAGUUACCAUAGUUACCAGUGUGAAAGGUUUGUGGGAUAAUCUUCUUAAAAAUGCCAAAAAAGAGAUUUCAUCAACAAAAAAAACUCCGACGGGGGGAGGACCAGCUGUAAUAUUAACAAAAAUCAGCCAGAAAAUAUUGGAUAUAUACGGAGAAAAUUCUCCAAUAUUUUUUGGUUUGGAAGGGGUGGAAACCAAUAGCAUCGAUUUUGUUUGCAAUAUACAGAAUAGUGUUAAUCCAGUUGUGAUUAAUGCUACACACUGCAAUUACAUCAAAAAAUAGGAACUAAGACAACUCAGGACAAACUAAACGAUCUACAAGCAAAAUGAUGAUAUGUUAAAAAAUGACCAAAAUUUGUCUGGAAAAAAAAACAACUCACUUUAGCUCUCCACCAGCCAACUGUUGAUAUGGAGAGUUACUUAACUGAGGAGAAAUUUAAAUUUAGGGAAGAAGUGCUAAAGCUACAGGCUGAAUUUCUAAAAAGGAGUUAGUGGAGUUAGAAAAAAGAGUAAGCAAUAAAAAAAUAUAUACAAUAAAUAACACAAUAAAUGAUUAUACAAUUAUUUAAAAAAAUCAACAGUAUUAUUAUUAAUAAAAGACUACUUUAAAAAAGUAAAACUUUUUAAUGAAAGUUCUUAUAAAAUAUUUCAUUAUUAUGAAUAGAAAAACAAGUAUACUGAAUGCUCACUGGCUAACACCGGCAAAUUCCCCCCCCCCCCCCCCCGCCUUAAACUAUGUAACGGAAGUAAAAAUACAUACCUCCACUGCACGAUAAAAUAGGGUGUCUGGGCAUAAAUAUUUUUUAAUGAAAUUUGGCAGGCACAUAGAAAAUAGAUUUAUACUGUUGACUGGAAAAUUGUAAAAGUGUAGCAACAUGCCUUCAACAUUAAAUUACCUCCAGAACAGAAACGAAAUUUCAAAAUUUUAUAAAAAUCACUGGUAAAUGUAAAGAAAACAAAGGAAUUUAUUUCAAGAAGUAACAGUAACAGUAACAGAAACAGUUUAAUAAAGUGUAACAGUAACAGUAAUUGUAAAAAAGGUGGAAAAUGUACCUCCACUAGGUGGAAAAAUAGGGUAUUUGGGCAUAAAUUUUUUUUAAUGAAAUUUGGCAGGCACAUAGAAAAUAGAUUUAUACUGUUGACUGGAAAAUUUUAAAAGUGUAGCAACAUGCCUUCAAUAUCAAUGCACUUCCAGAACACAAACAAAAUUUUAAAUAGCAAUAAAAUCACUAAAAAACUUAAUACUUGAAAAAAAAAAAAACAUAAUUUAUUCAACAUAAAACAUUCUACUUUUUUAAAAAAAUCUAAGCUGAUAUAAAAUUCUAAAAAAAAAGACAAAUAAAUACAUCCUUACCACACCGACUUCGAGCAUGCUGUGAAAAAAAAGGUCACAGUUUUUAACUUAUAAAUCGGUGCCGUAAAAAACCAGAUACGCACGUACCUACAACAGUUUCUAUAAUUAAUAAAGGCAAAUUUGAUAUUAUUCAACACGCAGCUUCAAGAAAGCAUAAAAAAUGUUCAUCAGUUUCUACAACUCAAAAAGAGACUUUUUUCGCUGUAAGGAUUGAACUACUUAUAAAGCAAAACUUACCCUUGAACUUCUAUGGUCAUACCAUAACGUAAAGCACGAUCAUUCUUUUAGGGAUAUGGACUGCACAUCAAAUUUAUUGAGAAAAUCUUGUGAUUAUAAGUUUGCGUGUGGAAGAACCAAGUCAGAGUGUCUUGUAAAUAAUAUAAUUUUAAAUUGGUCUGAAGAUUUGUUAAACAAAGACUUGAAGAACACAAAAUUUGUUGUUGUCGCAUGUGAUACAUCGAACCACAAAAAUACGAAACUUCUAGUAAGAUACUGUAGUAAGAUACUGUGUUGUUAAACCUGCUAUUGAAAUUAAGUAUAGUAUUUUGAAAGUUCAUAAUCUUCCAAAUGAAACAGCAGAAACAAUAACAAAAGUUGUUUUAGAAGAUAUAAAUUUUUACAAUAUACGUGAUAAAAUAAUUGGAUUUUCAGCAGAUAAUGCAGCAGUUAACUUUGGUGCUUUAUCAAGUAAAAAAACUGAAAAUAAUAUGUAUUCAAAGCUUGAAAAGGAUUUAAAGGGAGAAAUUUUAACAAUAGGCUGCGCUGCUCAUAGAGUGCAUAAUGCCCUAUCUGCAGCUACUUCAAAGAUAAUUCUAAAAUAAAAUGUUUAAAAUAUAUCAUCAUUUUAAUAUAUUUACUCUUCGAACAGAAACGUUGAAAGAAUUUUGUGUCUUCAUUGGAUGCCAAUUUAAAAUGGUUCUAUCACAUUCAAAAACACGAUGGCUAUCUUUAUCGCCAUGCAUAGACAGAAUACUUAGAAUGUAUGAACCUUUGAAGUCAUAUUUUCUAAGUGAGGAAAAUUCACCACUUGCAAUUUUUAAUUUUUUUAAUUCUGGAUCUUCUGAAUUUUGGUUACUUUUCCUUUAACCCCAAUUUCAUUUGUUUGGUGAGACUGUGAAAAAGAUAGAAGGAAACGAUAAAAGUGCAGUGGAAGUAUCAGCUGAGUUUUACAAACUAUUAGCUAAUUAUGAAAAUAGAAUUGAAAGCAGAUUUAUACCAUUUAUGGCAGAUAAUCUUUUAAAAAAACUAGAAGCAGGAGGAAUAUUAGAUAGAGAUCAUUUUAUUUCUAUUGUAGUGAAAUUUUAUAGCACAAUAAUUUAUUAUUUAAAAAAGUGGUCUGGUAGAUUUUGCAAUGAAGCAAGGAAUAUGUAAUACCUUUUGUUAAAGGAAAAAUUUUCAUAUGAGGAUUUUAAAGAAAUGUACAUUUAUUUCCUUAAUAAAACUAAAUCAUUACCUAUUUCUGUCAUAGAUGAUAAUGAAAUUUUUGACUCUUAUUGUUUUAUCAAAGCUUGUUUAGAUAUAAAUCUGGAAAACUGGGAAGCUGAAUCUGUUCCUAUGUUUUCUAGAUGGAAAAUUGUUUUAGAAGGUUUAAAUAAUGGCAAUGCUGUAGUAAAGCUUCAACUGCUGGAAAUGCUUGCUGCAUUUUUAUUUACUGUUCCAGGGACUAAUGCAGAAUGUGAACGCUUGUUUAGUUUAGUGGGUCAAUAUUGGACAAAAGACAAGCCAUUUAAAAAUUAGUACAUGCGAUCAAUUUUACGAAGAAAUAAAAAGAAACAAACAUUUGUUACAAAAAGCAAAAUAUUCUGAAAAGUAUCUAUAAAUGAUUUUUAUAUAAUAUAUCAUAGAUUGUAUUGGCUAUACAUACACCCUUGUGUUUUCAACCUUUUUCGAUGUAUAAUAUACAGAGAUUUUACUUGUG